UUAGUUGCCAUCAGGUUAAGCGUGGGGACUCUAAAGGAACUGCCUACGCAAGUAGUGAGGAAGGCGGGGAUGACGUCAAAUCAGCACGGCCCUUACGUCCAGGGCUACACACGUGCUACAAUGGCCGAUACAGAGGGCAGCUACCUGGUGACAGGAUGCAAAUCUCCAAAGUCGGUCUCAGUUCGGAUCGGAGUCUGCAACCCGACUCCGUGAAGUUGGAUUCGCUAGUAAUCGCGCAUCAGCCAUGGCGCGGUGAAUACGUUCCCGGGCCUU
rnacentral:rRNA from 1 species